rnacentral:misc_RNA from 1 species
GAUGAAGAACGUAGCGAAAUGCGAUAAGUAAUGUGAAUUGCAGAAUUCAGUGAAUCAUCGAAUCUUUGAACGCACAUUGCGCCCCCUGGUAUUCCGGGGGGCAUGCCUGUUCGAGCGUCAUUUCACCACUCAAGCCUCGCUUGGUAUUGGGCAUCGCGGUCCGCCGCGCGCCUCAAAUCGACCGGCUGGGUCUUCUGUCCCCUAAGCGUUGUGGAAACUAUUCGCUAAAGGGUGUUCGGGAGGCUACGCCGUAAAACAACCCCAUGUCUAAGGUUGACCUCGGAUCAGGUAGGGAUACCCGCUGAACUUAAGCAUAUCAAUAAGCGGAGGA